rnacentral:lncRNA from 1 species
CAGCAUGGGAGGUACUGGAAGCCUGAAUGGAUGAGGCAGAAAGAUUCUCGAAGUCCCGUGUGCAAGGAAACAACGCAGAAUGAAAUAAGAAGAGGGGAGAAGAGCUAUACAAGGUGCACCUCCUCCGUGAAGCCUUCCUGGCUCUCCUUUUGAAUGGAAGUGACUCCUCGGGAUUUACAGCUCUCCGUUCUGGACCAUGUCCUCCAAUUCUCGGGCCUUUUCUUUCUUGACUAGGAAUAAAGAAAAUCUUACACGAUAUCCAGUUAUUUCCGACUCCUACUUUGACACAAAUCUGGAAAGAGUCAUUUGUUCUUCCUAAAUGCUCUUCGGAGAAAA